GUGCCAGCAGCCGCGGUAAUACGUAGGCAGCAAACGUUGUUCGGAGUUACUGGGCGUAAAGAGUACGUAGGCGGUUUGCCAAGUUUGGUGUGAAAUCUCCUGGCUUAACUGGGAGGGUGCGCCGAAUACUGGCGAGCUUGAGUAUUGGAGAGGAAAGCGGAAUUCCUGGUGUAGCGGUGAAAUGCGUAGAUAUCAGGAGGAACACCGGUGGUGUAGACGGCUUUCUGGACAAUCACUGACGCUGAGGUACGAAAGCGUGGGUAGCAAACAGGAUUAGAUACCCUGGUAGUCCACGCCCUAAACGAUGCAAACUUGGUGUAGGCAGUUCAGUCUGUCUGUGCCGGAGCUAACGCGUUAAGUUUGCCGCCUGGGGAGUACGGUCGCAAGGCUGAA
rnacentral:rRNA from 1 species